rnacentral:rRNA from 1 species
AUUGAACGCUGGCGGCAUGCCUUACACAUGCAAGUCGAACGGUAACGCGGGGCAACCUGGCGACGAGUGGCGAACGGGUGAGUAAUACAUCGGAACGUGCCCAGUAGUGGGGGAUAGCCCGGCGAAAGCCGGAUUAAUACCGCAUACGACCUAUGGGUGAAAGCGGGGGAUCGCAAGACCUCGCGCUAUUGGAGCGGCCG